rnacentral:rRNA from 1 species
CGGAUAAAAUCUGGUUGGCUUCGGUGAACCGGAUCAAAGGUGGUCUCUUUUAAAAAGCUACCGUUUGGAGAUGAGCUCGCGUACCAUUAGCUUGUUGGUGGGGUAAAGGCUCACCAAGGCGACAAUUGGUAAGCUGGUCUGAGAGGAUGAUCAGCCACACCCGGAACUGGAACACGGUCCGGACUCCUACGGGAGGCAGCAGUGAGGAAUUUUGCGCAAUGGGGGAAACCCUGACGCAGCAACGCCGCGUGAGUGAUGAAGGCUUUCGGGUCGUAAAGCUCUGUCAGGUGGGAAGAACCCACCAGGUGUAAACAUCACCUGGUGCUGACGGUACCACCGAAUGAAGCACCGGCUAACUCCGUGCCAGCAGCCGCGGUAAUACGGGGGGUGCGAGCGUUAUUCGGAACUCAUUGGGCGUAAAGGGCGCGCAGGCGGUUUUGUAAGUCAGAUGUGAAAUCCCGGGGCUUAACCCCGGAAAGUGCAUAUGAAACUAUUGAGACUUGAGUAUGGGAGAGGGAAGCGGAAUUCCUGGUGUAACGGUUGAACAUGCGUAGAUAUCAGGAGGAACACCGGUGGCGAAGUCGGCUUCCUGGACCAAUACUGACGCUGAGGCGCGAAGGCUUGGGGAGCGAACAGGAUUAGAUACCCUGGUAGUCCACGCAGUAAACGUUGAUCACUAGGUGUAGCGGGUAUUGACCCCUGCUGUGCCGGAGUUAACGCAUUAAGUGAUCCGCCUGGGGAGUACGAUCGCAAGAUUAAAACUCAAAGGAAUUGACGGGGGCCCGCACAAGCGGUGGAGCAUGUGGUUUAAUUCGACGCAACGCGAAGAACCUUACCUGGACUUGACAUCUCGGGAAUUCCGUUGAAAGACGGGAGUGCCUUUAACGAGGAAUCCGAUGACAGGUGCUGCAUGGCUGUCGUCAGCUCGUGUCGUGAGAUGUUGGGUUAAGUCCCGCAACGAGCGCAACCCCUAUCUUCAGUUGCCAUCAGGUGAUGCUGGGGACUUUGGAGAUACUGCCCCGGUUAACGGGGAGGAAGGUGGGGAUGACGUCAAGUCCUCAUGGCCUUUAUGUCCAGGGCUACACACGUGCUACAAUGGUAUGUACAAAGGGAAGCGAUCCCGCGAGGAGGAGCUAAUCCCAAAAAGCAUAUCAAAGUUUCGGAUCGGAGUCUGCAACUCGACUCCGUGAAGUUGGAAUCGCUAGUAAUCGCGGAUCAGCAUGCCGCGGUGAUACGUUCCCGGGCAUUGUACACACCGCCCGUCACACCAUGAGAGUUGCUGUACCAGAAGUCGUUGG